rnacentral:snRNA from 1 species
GUGCUUGCUUCGGCAGCACAUAUACUAAAAUUGGCACAAUAUAGAGAAGAUUAGCAUGGCCCCUGGGCAAGGAUGACAUACAAAUUCAUGAUGAGCUCUAUAGUUUU